rnacentral:rRNA from 2 species
CAGUGGCGAACGGGUGAGUAACACGUGGGCAAUCUGCCCUGCACUCUGGGACAAGCCCUGGAAACGGGGUCUAAUACCGGAUAUGACCUUCCUCUGCAUGGGGGUUGGUGGAAAGCUCCGGCGGUGCAGGAUGAGCCCGCGGCCUAUCAGCUUGUUGGUGGGGUAAUGGCCUACCAAGGCGACGACGGGUAGCCGGCCUGAGAGGGCGACCGGCCACACUGGGACUGAGACACGGCCCAGACUCCUACGGGAGGCAGCAGUGGGGAAUAUUGCACAAUGGGCGAAAGCCUGAUGCAGCGACGCCGCGUGAGGGAUGACGGCCUUCGGGUUGUAAACCUCUUUCAGCAGGGAAGAAGCGCAAGUGACGGUACCUGCAGAAGAAGCACCGGCUAACUACGUGCCAGCAGCCGCGGUAAUACGUAGGGUGCGAGCGUUGUCCGGAAUUAUUGGGCGUAAAGAGCUCGUAGGCGGCCUGUCGCGUCGGAUGUGAAAGCCCGGGGCUUAACCCCGGGUCUGCAUUCGAUACGGGCAGGCUAGAGUGUGGUAGGGGAGAUCGGAAUUCCU